rnacentral:rRNA from 1 species
AGAGCGAACGCUGGCGGCAGGCUUAACACAUGCAAGUCGAGCGGGCGUAGCAAUACGUCAGCGGCAGACGGGUGAGUAACGCGUGGGAACGUACCUUUUGGUUCGGAACAACACAGGGAAACUUGUACUAAUACCGGAUAAGCCCUUACGGGGAAAGAUUUAUCGCCAAAAGAUCGGCCCGCGUCUGAUUAGCUAGUUGGUGAGGUAACGGCUCACCAAGGCGACGAUCAGUAGCUGGUCUGAGAGGAUGAUCAGCCACAUUGGGACUGAGACACGGCCCAAACUCCUACGGGAGGCAGCAGUGGGGAAUAUUGGACAAUGGGCGCAAGCCUGAUCCAGCCAUGCCGCGUGAGUGAUGAAGGCCCUAGGGUUGUAAAGCUCUUUUGUGCGGGAAGAUAAUGACGGUACCGCAAGAAUAAGCCCCGGCUAAACUUCGUGCCAGCAGCCGC